AUUGAACGCUGGCGGCAGGCCUAACACAUGCAAGUCGAGCGGAUGAAGGGAGCUUGCUCCUGGAUUCAGCGGCGGACGGGUGAGUAAUGCCUAGGAAUCUGCCUGGUAGUGGGGGAUAACGUCCGGAAACGGGCGCUAAUACCGCAUACGUCCUGAGGGAGAAAGUGGGGGAUCUUCGGUCCUUACGCUAUCAGAUGAGCCUAGGUCGGAUUAGCUAGUUGGUGGGGUAAAGGCCUACCAAGGCGACGAUCCGUAACUGGUCUGAGAGGAUGAUCAGUCAAACUGGAACUGAGACACGGUCCAGACUCCUACGGGAGGCAGCAGUGGGGAAUAUUGGACAAUGGGCGAAAGCCUGAUCCAGCCAUGCCGCGUGUGUGAAGAAGGUCUUCGGAUUGUAAAGCACUUUAAGUUGGGAGGAAGGGCAGUAAGUUAAUACCUUGCUGUUUUGACGUUACCAACAGAAUAAGCACCGGCUAACUUCGUG
rnacentral:rRNA from 1 species